CGGGCGCACGGCGGAUGCCUUGGCACAGGGAGCCGAUGAAGGACGCGGCAAGCUGCGAUAAUCCCCGGCGAGGAGCACACAUCCUUCGACCCGGGGGUCUCCGAAUGGGCGAACCCAUGCACAGCAGUGUGCAUAUCCCCCCGCUGAACGCAUAGGCGGGGGGAGGACAACCCGGGGAACUGAAACAUCUAAGUACCCGGAGGAGAGGAAAUCAAUCUCGAGACUCCCCGAGUAGCGGCGAGCGAAAGGGGACCGAUGGCCAAACCGUCGAGCGGGCAUACCCGGCAGGGGUUCCGCCGACGGGGUUGCAGGGCCGCGCAUCCGGGGGCUGCCGCCCCCGGGCGCAGGUCCGGCUGGGGAGCGGAACGGCAUGGGAGGGCCGGCCGCAGCGGGUGACAGCCCCGUACGCGAACCCAGACCGGACGGCGCGACGCGGUCCCUGAGUAGGGCCGGGCACGUGAAACCCGGUCCGAACCUGGGUGGACCACCAUCCAAGCCUGAGUACUACCCUGUGACCGAUAGCGCACCAGUACCGUGAGGGAAAGGUGAAAAGCACCCCGGGAGGGGAGUGAAACAGUACCUGAAACCGUGCGCCCACGAGCAGUCGGAGCACCUUUAUGGUGUGACGGCGUGCCUUUUGUAGAAUGAGCCAGCGAGUCGCUGGCGCGGGGCGAGGUUAACCGAAAGGGAGCCGGAGCGAAAGCGAGCCUUAACAGGGCGACUUGAGUCCCGCGCCGCGGACGCGAAGCCGGGUGAGCUAUCCGUGGGCAGGCUGAAGCGGGGGUAAGACCCCGUGGAGGGCCGAACGCACGUCGGUUGAAAACGGCGGCGAUGACCUGCGGAUAGGGGGGAAAGGCCAAUCAAACCCGGAGAUAUCUCGUUCUCCCCGAAAUAGCUUUAGGGCUAGCGUCGCGCGUUCACCGCCGGAGGUAGAGCACCGGAUGGACGAGGGGGCUUCGCCGCCUACCGAAUCCAACCGAACUCCGAAUGCCGGCGGCCCAGAGCGCGGCAGUCAGAGCAUGUGGGCUAAGCUGUGUGCUCGAGAGGGAAACAGCCCGGACCGCCCGCUAAGGUCCCCAAGUUCCAGCCGAGUGGCAAAGGAUGUGCGUCCGCCCAGACAACCAGGAUGUUGGCUUAGAAGCAGCCAUCCAUUCAAAGAGUGCGUAACAGCUCACUGGUCGAGUGGACAUGCGCCGACAAUACACGGGGCUAAGCUGGACACCGAAGCGGCGGGAUUUUAAUUCAUUAGAAUCGGUAGGGGAGCUUCCCAUGGGCGGAGAAGCCGGAGGGCGACCGACGGUGGAGCGCAUGGGAGUGAGAAUGCUGGCAUGAGUAGCGAGAGACGAGAGAGUAACUCGUCCGCCGUGAACCCGAGGUUUCCUGGGCAAGGCUAAUCCUCCCAGGGUCAGUCGGGGGCUAAGGCGAGGCCGGUAGGCGUAGCCGACGCGCAGCAGGCAGACAUUCCUGCACCGCGCACGCGGCGCUACGACCGACGGGGCGACGGAUGGGGGUGGCUCGGCGGGGUUCUGGACGUCCCCGUGAUGGAGCGCGGCCCGCGGACCAGGGAAAUCCGGUCCGCAGGAGGGCGAGGCUCCGGACGAAGCACUUAAGCGAAGCGAGUGAGCCCGAGGUCCCUAGAAAAACCCCUAGGCAGGCGCGUGCGCGCCCGUACCGCAAACCGACACAGGUGGGUGGGUAGAACAUACCGAGGCGAUCGGGUCAACCAUGGUCAAGGAACUCGGCACAAUGGCCCCGUAACUUCGGGAGAAGGGGUGCCCGCGCGUACGUGAACCGGCUUGCCCGGGGAGCGGAGGCGGGCCGCAGUGGAGAGGCCCAAGCGACUGUUUACCAAAAACACAGGACUCUGCAGAAGCCGCAAGGCGACGUAUAGGGUCUGACGCCUGCCCGGUGCCGGAAGGUCACGCGGAGGGGUUAGCCGCAAGGCGAGGCCCCGAAGCCAAGCCCCGGUAAACGGCGGCCGUAACUAUAACGGUCCUAAGGUAGCGAAAUUCCUUGUCGGGUAAGUUCCGACCUGCACGAAAGGCGCAACGACUUGGGCGCUGUCUCGACCAUGGACCCGGUGAAAUUGCACUGGUCGUGAAGAUGCGACUUACCCGCGGAAGGACGGAAAGACCCCGUGAACCUUCACUGCAGCUUGGCAUUGGCCGCUGGUCCCGCGUGUAGAGGAUAGGCAGGAGGCAUCGAUCCGGAGGCGCCAGCCCCCGGGGAGCCGCCCUUGGAAUACUGCCCUCGCGCGACCGGCGUCCUAACCCGAGGCCGUCAACCGGCUCGGGGACCGUGCCAGGCGGGCAGUUUGACUGGGGCGGUCGCCUCCUAAAGGGUAACGGAGG
rnacentral:rRNA from 1 species